rnacentral:rRNA from 1 species
GACAGAGGGUGCAAGCGUUGUUCGGAAUUAUUGGGCGUAAAGGGCGCGUAGGCGGCGUUGUAAGUCAGACGUGAAAGCCCAGGGCUUAACCCUGGAAGUGCAUCUGAUACUGCAACGCUUGAGUCCUGGAGAGGGUGGUGGAAUUCCCAGUGUAGAGGUGAAAUUCGUAGAUAUUGGGAGGAACAUCGGUGGCGAAGGCGACCACCUGGACAGAGACUGACGCUGAGGCGCGAAAGCGUGGGGAGCAAACAGG